AUUGAACGCUGGCGGCAUGCUUUACACAUGCAAGUCGAACGGUAACAGGCCUUCGGGUGCUGACGAGUGGCGAACGGGUGCGUAAUGCAUCGGAACGUACCCAGAGGUGGGGGAUAACGCAGCGAAAGCUGUGCUAAUACCGCAUGUGAUCUGAGGAUGAAAGCGGGGGACCGAGCAGCAAUGUUUGGCCUCGCGCCUUUGGAGCGGCCGAUGUCGGAUUAGCUAGUUGGUGGGGUAAAGGCCUACCAAGGCGACGAUCCGUAGCUGGUCUGAGAGGACGACCAGCCACACUGGGACUGAGACACGGCCCAGACUCCUACGGGAGGCAGCAGUGGGGAAUUUUGGACAAUGGGCGCAAGCCUGAUCCAGCAAUGCCGCGUGCGGGAAGAAGACCUUCGGGUUGUAAACCGCUUUUGGCAGGAACGAAACGGUGUCCGCUAAUACCGGGCGCUAAUGACGGUACCUGCAGAAUAAGCACCGGCUAACUACGUG
rnacentral:rRNA from 1 species